rnacentral:rRNA from 1 species
GAUGAACGCUGGCGGCGUGCCUAAUACAUGCAAGUCGAGCGAAUGGAUUAAGAGCUUGCUCUUAUGAAGUUAGCGGCGGACGGGUGAGUAACACGUGGGUAACCUGCCCAUAAGACUGGGAUAACUCCGGGAAACCGGGGCUAAUACCGGAUAACAUUUUGAACCGCAUGGUUCGAAAUUGAAAGGCGGCUUCGGCUGUCACUUAUGGAUGGACCCGCGUCGCAUUAGCUAGUUGGUGAGGUAACGGCUCACCAAGGCAACGAUGCGUAGCCGACCUGAGAGGGUGAUCGGCCACACUGGGACUGAGACACGGCCCAGACUCCUACGGGAGGUAGCAGUAGUGAAUCUUCCGCAAUGGACGAAAGUCUGACGGAGCAACGCCGCGUGAGUGAUGAAGGCUUUCGGGUCGUAAAACUCUGUUGUUAGGGAAGAACAAGUGCUAGUUGAAUAAGCUGGCACCUUGACGGUACCUAACCAGAAAGCCACGGCUAACUACGUGCCAGCAGCCGCGGUAACAC